GUGGGGAAUAUUGGACAAUGGGCGAAAGCCUGAUCCAGCCAUGCCGCGUGUGUGAAGAAGGUCUUCGGAUUGUAAAGCACUUUAAGUUGGGAGGAAGGGUAGUAACCUAAUACGUUGCUACUUUGACGUUACCGACAGAAUAAGCACCGGCUAACUUCGUGCCAGCAGCCGCGGUAAUACGAAGGGUGCAAGCGUUAAUCGGAAUUACUGGGCGUAAAGCGCGCGUAGGUGGUUUUGUAAGUUGGAAGUGAAAUCCCCGGGCUCAACCUGGGAACUGCUUUCAAAACUGCUGAGCUAGAGUACGGUAGAGGGUGGUGGAAUUUCCUGUGUAGCGGUGAAAUGCGUAGAUAUAGGAAGGAACACCAGUGGCGAAGGCGACCACCUGGACUGAUACUGACACUGAGGUGCGAAAGCGUGGGGAGCAAACAGGAUUAGAUACCCUAGUAGUCC
rnacentral:rRNA from 1 species